rnacentral:rRNA from 1 species
ACGUUCAACGGCCGCGGUAUCCUAACCGUGCAAAGGUAGCGUAAUCACUUGUCCCCCAAAUAGGGACCAGUAUGAACGGCUAGAUGAGGGCCCACCUGUCUCCUGAGGCCAACCAGUGAAACUGAUCUCCAGGUACAAAAGCCUGGAUAAUAAAAUAAGACGAGAAGACCCUGCGGAGCUUUCAAACACACUAGCUACACAUAAAAAAUGUAAUAUAGCACGAGUUUUAAGUUGGGGCGACUGCGGAGAAAAACAAAACCUCCAUGAUAUACGCAACAUUCCCCCCACAGGACCACACUCCAACCAGGGGUAUGCCUAUGACCCAGUUAACACUGAUCAACGAACCAAGUUACCCCAGGGAUAACAGCGCCAUCCCCUUAAAGAGUCCAUAUCGACAAGGGGGCUUACGACCUCGAUGUUGGAUCAGGACACCCAAGUAGAGCAGCCACUACUAAUGGUUCGUUUGUUCAACGAUUAAUGUCCUACGUGAUCUG